CCUACGGGAGGCAGCAGUGGGGGAUAUUGCACAAUGGGGGAAACCCUGAUGCCGCGACGCCGCGUGGGCGAAGAAGUAUUUCGGUAUGUAAAGCCCUAUCAGCAGGGAAGAAGAAAUGACGGUACCUGAGUAAGAAGCACCGGCUAAAUACGUGCCAGCAGCCGCGGUACUCCGUAUGGUGCAAGCGUUAUCCGGAUUUACGGGGUGUAAAGGGAGCGCAGGCGGCGCGGCAAGGCUGAUGUGAAAGCCCGGGGCCCAACGGGGGAACUGCAUGGGAUACUACCGGGCGGGCGUGGGGGAGAGGGGGGGAGAAUGCACUGGGUAGGGGGGAAAUGCGUAGAGAUGGGGAG
rnacentral:rRNA from 1 species